rnacentral:rRNA from 1 species
CCUACGGGUAGCAGCAGUGGGGAAUAUUGGGCAAUGGGCGCAAGCCUGACCCAGCAACGCCGCGUGAAGGAAGAAGGCUCUCGGGUUGUAAACUUCUUUUCUCAGGGACGAAGCAUGUGACGGUACCUGAGGAAUAAGCCACGGCUAACUACGUGCCAGGAGCCGCGGCAAUACGUAGGUGGCAAGCGUUAUCCGGAUUUACUGGGUGUAAAGGGCGUGUAGGCGGGACUGCAAGUCAGAUGCGAAAACCAUGGGCUCAACCUAUGGCCUGCAUUUGAAACUGGAGUUCUUGAGUACUGGAGAGGCAGGCGGAAUUCCUGGUGUAGCGGUGAAAUGCGUAGAUAGUAGGAAGAACACCGGUGGCGAAGGCAGUAUGCUGGACAGCAACUGACGCUGAGGCGCGAAAGCGUGGGGAGCAAACAGGAUUAGAUACCCGGGUAGUC